rnacentral:rRNA from 1 species
UGCCAGCAGCCGCGGUAAUACGGAGGGGGCGAGCGUUGUUCGGAUUUACUGGGCGUAAAGGGCGCGUAGGCGGCUUAUCAAGUCAGGGGUGAAAGGCCUGGGCUCAACCUGGGAACUGCCUUUGAAACUGAUCGGCUCGAGUUCGGGAGAGGAUGGCGGAAUUCCCAGUGUAGAGGUGAAAUUCGUAGAUAUUGGGAAGAACACCGGUGGCGAAGGCGGCCAUCUGGCCCGAGACUGACGCUGAGGCGCGAAAGCGUGGGGAGCAAACAGGAUUAGAUA